AGAGAGAGACAUGCGCGCAUAUCAAUAAGCGGAGGAAAAGAAACUAACAAGGAUUCCCCUAGUAACGGCGAGUGAAGCGGGAAGAGCUCAAAUUUGAAAUCUUAAAGGGUUUCCCUUUACGAAUUGUAGUUUAAAGAAGUGUUUUCUGUUGAGGUUUUGGUAAAAGUUCUUUGGAAUAGGACAUCAUAGAGGGUGAGAAUCCCGUAUUUGACCUUUACUUUCAACUUUGUGAUACACUUUCAAAGAGUCGGAUUGUUUGGGAAUGCAGUCCAAAAUGGGUGGUAAAUUUCGAGUCUAAAGCUAAAUAUUGGCGAGAGACCGAUAGCGAACAAGUACCGUGAGGGAAAGAUGAAAAGAACUUUGAAAAGAGAGUUAAACAGUACGUGAAAUUGUCAAAAGGGAAGCGUUUGACACCAGUGUUGUUUUUCUGAAAAUCAAUUAAAGAACUGUUUAUGCUAAGCUGUUUAGACUUUAUCAGCUAUCUGUUUAGUUUUGAGCUUUUCUUUAAUGCACUUUUCAGUUAACAAGUCAACAUCAAUUUCUUUUGCUGUAAAAAAGCUUGAGGAAGGUGGCUUGAGAUUCGUCUUAAGUGUUUAUAGCCUCUUGCCUAUGCAGUCGGAGAGAUUGAGGUCUGCAGCGUAGAUCCUUCGGGGCUAAAUGCAUUUGUGCUAAGUUAUAGCAUUUUAUAGACAACUUGUUGACUAUGAUUUGUCUUGUAGCUUACUCGCUUAUGUUAUUUUACCUACGCUUAGGAUGUUGACGCAUGAGAUAUACGC
rnacentral:rRNA from 1 species